rnacentral:rRNA from 1 species
GUGCCAGCCGCCGCGGUAAUACGGGGGGGGCAAGCGUUGUUCGGAAUUACUGGGCGUAAAGGGUGCGUAGGCGGCUCUCUAAGUCGGAUGUGAAAACUCUGGGCUCAACCCAGAGACUGCAUCUGAAACUGGAGGGCUAGGGUGCUGGAGGGGAAAGCGGAAUUCCUGGUGUAGCGGUGAAAUGCGUAGAUAUCAGGAGGAACACCGGUGGCGAAGGCGGCUUUCUGGACAGUAACCGACGCUGAGGCACGAAAGCUAGGGGAGCAAACAGGAUUAGAAACCCCCGUAGUCC